CGCUAAGAAAAUUCAAUCUUCCUUGCAGAGUUAGUAAUACUAAUACUAUUGCAACUUAAUCCCUUCUCUUUCUUUCCUUUGUUUUUGUAUAUACACACUAUUAUCAAUUAAUUAAUUAAUGGCGGAAACUGCUACGUAUAAUCACCCUUUGUUUAGCUGCAGAAUUUGCCAGAAUCCCAUCGCUCUUCGAGAUGAUCUUCUCUCUAAACGCUUUCUGGCGAAAUCAGGAAGAGCGUAUCUUUUUGGGCAUGCUAUGAAUGUGGUGGUGGGUAAAAAGGAAGAUAGAAAACUGAUGACAGGUACCUUCAGUGUUGCUGAUAUAUUCUGCAGCAAGUGUGGGCAGGAAUUGGGUUGGAAGUAUGUUAAAGCUUAUGAUCCCUCACAGAAGUACAAAGAAGGCGGAUUCAUAAUCGAGAUUGCCAAAAUUCUCAAAGAAUAUUAGUAAUAAGAUUUCAACACUUAUUUAUGUAAACAACUAAUGCUUGAUCGACUGUAAAUUAAUAAGAUUUCUGGUCAUGCAAAAACACUACUUUUAGUCCUUUGUAUGUUGUUAUCUAUCAUGCUGUUGAUGUGCAAGAAACAGGGUAAGCUUCUUUGGCAAUUAUGAUGAUUUUCACUUGUUAAUGGAUCUGGUAUAGUCAUCGAAAUGC
rnacentral:misc_RNA from 1 species